rnacentral:rRNA from 1 species
GGGGGCCCUGCGCUUUCCAACCAUCUGCCUGCCAGACAACCUUUGACAACUUGACCUCAAAGCGGGUGGGAUUACCCGACUGAACUUAAGCAUAUCAAUAAGCGGAGGAAAACAAACUAACAAGGAUUCCCCUAGUAACGGCGAGUGAAGAGGGAAAAGCUCAAAUUUUGAAUCUGGCAUCUUUGGUGCCCGAGUUGUAAUCUAGAGAAGUGUUUUCUGCCUCGGACCACACAUAAAUUCCCUGGAAUGGGGUGUCAUAGAGGGUGAGAAUCCCGUUUGUGGUGUGGACUACCUUGGCUCUGUGAUACACUCUCAACGAGUCGAGGUGUUUGGGAAUGCAGCUCAAAAUGGGUGGUAAAUUCCAUCUAAAGCUAAAUAUUGGCGAGAGACCGAUAGCGAACAAGUACCGUGAGGGAAAGAUGAAAAGCACUUUGGAAAGAGAGUGAAACAGUACGUGAAAUUGUUGAAAGGGAAGCGUUUGAAGUCAGUCGCAUCUGUCGGGGCUCAGCCUGGCUUUGCCUGGUGUACUUCCUGGCAGAUGGGUCAGUGUCAGUUUUGACCGGGAGAGAAAGGCUUGGGGAAUGUGGCUGUCUUCGGGCAGUGUUAUAGC